CAGCUUCUCCUUUUUCAAUGUUGUUUGAUUGAUCUGCGAUGUCAUGUUCCUGAAAAAUUACAAUGUAGAUAUUAAGCUCAUGGAACAAGUGGUACUUAGCUCAAACAUCGAUAACUAACUUGAUUUUUAAAAAACCUAAGGGACGGGUAGGGUUGAUGAAUUCCUAAAUAAGAACUCUGAAAUAAAAUAAAUUAUCCUAAAAUUAAAAAACAGAAUAAAUAAAUAAAGUUGAAAGCUUGAGUUGCCUCCCAAGAAGCGCUUCUUUAUAGUCACUAGCUUGACUCAACCAAGGUGUCUACGGUGGAUCUUCGGGUGGAGCAUCUUUCUUGUUUCUAAAUUUUACCCUCGGCUUUGCAUUCUCCUUCGCCGUAGUAUGGCCAAUAAAAUCAGGCGAGUUGAACCUCGAUGUAGCCUUCAAAACCUCUUUUGGUUUGACAAUGUUUGGAGGUUUCAAAGGCCUAGCCACAUAGCCUUCUUUUUUGUCAGGUGGAUCAGCUUCUUGGGUGAAUAUGAAAUCCACUACUUCUUCGGCUCCCGAGUAUUUGCCAUCAGUAGAUGCAUCCCUUACUAAGUAAUUGAGAGCCAUAUAUUGUUCUAAAGGGUCAUAGAACACUUCCUUUUUUUCUCUGUGACCUAAAACUGCUUCAGCCGAUUGGGCCAUAUUGCAAAUGUUGACUUUUUCUUGAGGCUUUUCUACUUGAUGGAUGUUGAAAGUCACAUGCUCUUCAUUAACCCGCAGUGUCAAUUUUCCUUCCUGGACAUCAAUCAAUGCUCUUCCAGUAGCUAGGAAAGGUCGACCAAGAAUCAACGGUAUUUUCUCGUUCUCCUCCAUGUCCAACACCACAAAGUCCACAGGAAGGAUGAACUUAUCGACCUUCACCAAUACAUCUUCAAUCAUGCCUUUGGGAUAUGUGAUCGAUCUGUCCGCCAGUUGCAAAGUGAGGGUUGUGGGCUUCACUUCUCCAAGACCCAGCUUUUUGAACACUGAUAGGGGCAUCAGGUUUAUACUAGCUCCAAGGUCGCACAGUGCCCUAUCAAAUGUGAUACCACCAAUAUUGCACGGGAUGUUGAAGCUACCCGGAUCUUUCAAUUUGUGAAGGAGCUUCUGAAGUAUGUCACUACACCCCUCUGUCAGCUUAAUUGUCUCG
rnacentral:lncRNA from 1 species